rnacentral:rRNA from 1 species
AGUGAACGCUGGCGGUAGGCCUAACACAUGCAAGUCGAACGGCCGCACAGUAAGAGCUUGCUCUUACGGGUGGCGAGUGGCGGACGGGUGAGGAAUACAUCGGAAUCUACUUUUUCGUGGGUGAUAACGUCGGGAAACUUACGCUAAUACCGCAUACGACCUACGGGUGAAAGCAGGGGAUCUUCGGACCUUGCGCGAUUGAAUGAGCCGAUGUCGGAUUAGCUAGUUGGCGGGGUAAAGGCCUACCAAGGCGACGAUCCGUAGCGGGUCUGAGAGGAUGAUCAGCCAGCCUGGAUCAGAGACAGGGCCCAGACUCUGACGGGAGGCAGCAGUGGGGAAUAUUGGGCAAUGGGGGAAAGCCUGAUCCAGCCAUACCGCGUGGAUGAAGAAGGCCUUAGGGUUGUAAAGUCCUUUUGUUGUGAAAGAAAAGCAGCAGUUUAAUACCCCGCUGUUCUGACGGUACCCAAAGAAUAAGCACCGGCUAACUUCGUG